AAAUGGCCUCAAUUUCUAUUAAUUGCAGAGUCUGAGGACCUUGAUUGGUAACAAAAGGGUCACAGGAUGUGUGAGGAUCCUGGAGCCUGGGUUAGAGGGAGGCUGCCAGGAGCUUCUUGUUUCUUGAGCCACUAGCGUUCUAGGAGCCAGCUCACACUGAGGUACUAUAACACCUUACCUAGAAUUCUUGGCUCUUGUGAAGGUUCAAGCUCAGAUAAUUGUUCAAACUGAUGUUUAUAGGGGAGGACAAGCACUAGAAAUUCCUAUGUUAGUCAUUUUGCAGACACCACUCCAGCACUCUUUAAGCAACUGUCACUGAUGAACAUAGAUAUUCAUCCUCCACAAAAUAUUGGAGUAACCAAAAGGUAAAUUGCUCCCAAUGUUGGUAAAUGAUAUAGCACAUGGAAGAGGAAUAAAAGCAGCCCUUCACUGAUGCCACCCUCCUUCCUUUGAGGAAUGAUGGGAAGCAUGCAUUCAAGUUGCAAGGUGUAGCUACAAGGUGUCUUGUCCCCAAGGCUGAAAGCAGAUAUGAGUCACCUGCGGCCAAUACCUACUGUCAACUACAAUUCUGAACUUAACUAAAGUAUGGCAAGAAGAUGUACUCUGCUUUGAUGCUGCUGCUGCUAAGUCGCUUCAGUCGUGUCCGACUCUGU